rnacentral:rRNA from 1 species
GUGGCGAACGGGUGAGUAACACGUGAGCAAUCUGCCCUUGACUCUGGGAUAACUGCGGGAAACUGUAGCUAAUACCGGAUACUUUCCUCGCUGGGCAUCCAGCGGGGAAGAAAGAAUUUCGGUCAAGGAUGAGCUCGCGGCCUAUCAGCUAGUUGGUGAGGUAAUGGCUCACCAAGGCGACGACGGGUAGCCGGCCUGAGAGGGUGACCGGCCACACUGGAACUGAGACACGGUCCAGACUCCUACGGGAGGCAGCAGUGGGGAAUAUUGCACAAUGGGCGAAAGCCUGAUGCAGCAACGCCGCGUGAGGGAUGAAGGCCUUCGGGUUGUAAACCUCUUUUAGCAGGGAAGAAGCGAAAGUGACGGUACCUGCAGAAAAAGCACCGGCUAACUACGUGCCAGCAGCCGCGGUAAUACGUAGGGUGCAAGCGUUGUCCGGAAUUAUUGGGCGUAAAGAGCUCGUAGGCGGUUUGUCACGUCUGCUGUGAAAAUCCGAGGCUCAACCUCGGACUUGCAGUGGGUACGGGCAGGCUAGAGUGCGGUAGGGGAGAAGGGAAUUCCUGGUGUAGCGGUGGAAUGCGCAGAUAUCAGGAGGAACACCAAUGGCGAAGGCACUUCUCUGGGCCGUAACUGACGUUGAGGAGCGAAAGCGUGGGGAGCGAACAGGAUUAGAUACCCUGGUAGUCCAC